AUACAUAUAUAUUUUUAUAUAUAGUAUCAUUAUUUACUUUACUUUAAUAUUAUUGUUAUCAUUAUAUCCAACCCAAUAAUAAUUCUUUCAUAAAAGUAAUAUUCCGUAUUUGGUAAUUCGAGACAAUCGUGCCCUAACUUAUUGGGUUUCGAUUUUUCUCCUUUAACCUAAAUAACGGAAUACUCUUUUAAAUCGCGACAUGAAUUUUGAAAAAUGCUUAUUCUCAGAGAUACGAGGUGUUGUGCCCUAACUUACCGGGUAUGGCAUUUUGUUACCUCGAAAUAAGAUUUUUGCAAGUAAAGGCAAUAUUCGGUGUUCAGAAAUUCGAGGAAACGUGCCCUAACUUACUGGGUUUCGAUUUUCCUCAUUCACCUUAACUAACUGAAUAACCUUUUGAAAUACACGAAUUUUUAUAUAAAAGGCAAGCUCGCUCUCGAAAAUUCAAGAUGUCGUGUCCUAACUUACUGGAUGUGACAUUUUAUAUUGUGAGACGAGAAGGUCUUUAACAUUUGAGCAUUUUCUUUACAAAGAGGGAUCGUAUUUUAAAUUCUUUCAAGUUUUCAAAUUUUCGACACUAAGACACUAAUUAAUCAACUAGGUACCAAUUUUGGGCGUAUCGAGGGUGCUAAUCCUUCCUCGUGCGUAACCGACUCCCAAACUCAUUUUCUGAUUUUCGUAGACAAAAAAUUAUCGUUUUAGUAAAUCUUAACUUUUAUUAAAAUGAUUAAUUUAAGGUGAUCCGAUCACACCUCAUCAAAAAAGAUUAGUGGCGACUCCUCUAUUCGUUUUCAUUUCUAAAAAUCUAAGUCGAUUCCCAUUUUUUUUUUAAAAAAUGGUUACGACAACAAUAAUAAUUAAAAGUGUAAUUAUUCUGUUACUAGUAGUGGAGUGGAAAAAACUCCACAAGUAUAUCUAGAUUGAUGUCAUUUUAUGGAAUUUUUUUACUCCACUAACCUUGAGUGUAUAGGAUAAUUAUUCUAAUUAAAAAUGCAACAAAAGUUUCAUUUGUUUAUAUAUGGA
rnacentral:lncRNA from 1 species